rnacentral:sRNA from 1 species
AAUCAUCGAAGGACGCACUCCUCCUCCCAGCGUUCCUUGGAUGGGACCGGCAACACCUCCUCCUCCCAGUUGCUGGUCAGUAUCGGAAACCCGGCGCUCCUCCUCCCGCGCCGGGUUUUCUGC